rnacentral:rRNA from 1 species
CGGCAACAGCUCAAAUUUGAAAUCUGGCCCCUCGGGGUCCGAGUUGUAAUUUGUAGAGGAUGCUUUUGGUGAGGUGCCGCCCGAGUUCCCUGGAACGGGACGCCACAGAGGGUGAGAGCCC